rnacentral:rRNA from 1 species
GACGAACCGUGCGAACGUUAUUCGGAAUCACUGGGCUUAAAGCGCGUGUAGGCGGGACGGCACGUCGGUCGCUGAAAUCCCCCGGCUCAACCGGGGAACGGGCGCCGAUACGACCGUCCUGGAGGGGCGUAGGGGGACCUGGAACUUCCGGUGGAGCGGUGAAAUGCGUUGAGAUCGGAAGGAACGCCCGUGGCGAAAGCGAGGUCCUGGACGCCUACUGACGCUGAGACGCGAAAGCCAGGGGAGCGAACGGG